GAAUAACACAUGGGGCUCUAUUUUCGUUCGCGCCGGUGAGGCGGCGGAGGGCGGCGAGCCCCGCGCAGUUGUAUUUUCGUCUGGCGGAGCCCGGCGUAAGGCGAGUUUGGUAUUUUCGUGGACUGAGUCGCACGGAGGCGAGCCGAGAUCCGCCAAGCUGGGCGUGGUGGCGUGGCAGGGGGAGGUGUCGACAGAAUCAGCAGGCGCAGUGACAUUUUCGUGCUCGCCACUGGCGUGUAACGUGCGCUGAAAGCUCGCCGAUUCAAACCUGGUCAGCUUUCAGCGCAAGGCGGAACGCAGCUGGUCUAGUAGUAUUUUGGUAGACCGGCGGCGUAUCGACAUACGUCACUGAUGCCUCACCGGCAGGUUUCCACAGUGUCAGGCAGAUUUCAGUGCAAUAAAUAAUCAUCAACAACUAUUAAUCUGAGUCAGCACAUACAUUUAGAUCUAUAUCGAUAUAUUCUGAUCUAUAUCUGAUCUGA